rnacentral:rRNA from 1 species
UACGUAGGGUCCGAGCGUUGUCCGGAAUUACUGGGCGUAAAGAGCUCGUAGGUGGUUUGUCGCGUUGUUCGUGAAAACUCACAGCUCAACUGUGGGCGUGCGGGCGAUACGGGCAGACUUGAGUACUGCAGGGGAGACUGGAAUUCCUGGUGUAGCGGUGGAAUGCGCAGAUAUCAGGAGGAACACCAGUAGCGAAGGCGACACUCUGGGCCGGUACUGACGCUGAGGAGCGAAAGCGUGGGGAGCAAACAGG